GUUGUAUAGUCAAGUAAUUAAGUGCAUGUGGUGGAUGCCUUGGCAGUCAGAGGCGAUGAAAGACGUGAUAGCCUGCGAAAAGCUCCGGGGAGGCGGCAAAUAUCCUUUGAUCCGGAGAUGUCUGAAUGGGGGAACCCACCUACUUUAAGGUAGGUAUUGCAACAUGAAUACAUAGUGUUGCAAGGCGAACGAGGGGAAGUGAAACAUCUCAGUACCCUUAGGAAAAGAAAUCAAUUGAGAUUCCCUCAGUAGCGGCGAGCGAACGGGGAUCAGCCCAUUAAGUUAUGUGUGUUUUAGUGGAACGCUCUGGGAAGUGCGAACGUAGAGGGUGAUAUUCCCGUACACGAAAGGGCACACAUAAUGAUGACGAGUAGGGCGAGGCACGUGAAACCUUGUCUGAAUAUGGGGGGACCAUCCUCCAAGGCUAAAUACUCCUGACUGACCGAUAGUGAACCAGUACCGUGAGGGAAAGGCGAAAAGAACCCCUGUGAGGGGAGUGAAAUAGAUCCUGAAACCGCAUGCAUACAAGCAGUGGGAGCACCUUCGUGGUGUGACUGCGUACCUUUUGUAUAAUGGGUCAGCGACUUAUAUUCAGUAGCGAGGUUAACCGUAUAGGGGAGCCGUAGAGAAAUCGAGUCUUAAUAGGGCGUUUAGUUGCUGGGUAUAGACCCGAAACCAGGCGAUCUAUCCAUGAGCAGGUUGAAGGUUGGGUAACACUAACUGGAGGACCGAACCCACUGUCGUUGAAAAGCCAGGGGAUGACUUGUGGAUAGGGGUGAAAGGCUAAUCAAGCCUGGUGAUAGCUGGUUCUCCCCGAAAGCUAUUUAGGUAGCGCCUCGGACGAAUACCAUAGGGGGUAGAGCACUGUUUCGGCUAGGGGGUCAUCCCGACUUACCAAACCGAUGCAAACUCCGAAUACCUAUGAGUACUAUCCGGGAGACAGACUGCGGGUGCUAACGUCCGUAGUCAAGAGGAAAACAAUCCAGACCGCCAGCUAAGGCCCCAAAAUCAUAGUUAAGUGGGAAACGAUGUGGGAAGGCAUAGACAGCUAGGAGGUUGGCUUAGAAGCAGCCACCCUUUAAAGAAAGCGUAAUAGCUCACUAGUCGAGUCGGCCUGCGCGGAAGAUGUAACGGGGCUAAAACUAUGUGCCGAAGCUGCGGAUNNNNNNNNNNNNNNNNNNNAUGCUGGAGGUAUCAGAAGUGCGAAUGCUGACGUGAGUAACGACAAAACGGGUGAAAAACCCGUUCGCCGAAAGACCAAGGGUUCCAGUCCAACGUUAAUCGGGGCUGGGUGAGUCGACCCCUAAGGCGAGGCCGAAAGGCGUAGUCGAUGGGAAAAUGGUUAAUAUUCCAUUACUUCUGUGUAAUGCGAUGAGAGGACGGAGAAGGCUAAAUCAGCCUGGCGUUGGUUGUCCAGGUGAAAGGAUGUAGGCAUGUAUCUUAGGCAAAUCCGGGGUACUCUAUGCUGAGAUCUGAUAGCAAGCUGUACUUGUACAGCGAAGUGGUUGAUGCCAUGCUUCCAGGAAAAGUCUCUAAGCUUCAGUUACACAGGAAUCGUACCCGAAACCGACACAGGUGGUCAGGUCGAGUAGACCAAGGCGCUUGAGAGAACUCUGCUGAAGGAACUAGGCAAAAUGGUACCGUAACUUCGGGAGAAGGUACGCUGUUGUUGGUGAUGGAACUCGCUUCCUGAGCUGACGACAGCCGCAGAAACCAGGCCGCUGCAACUGUUUAUUAAAAACAUAGCACUCUGCAAACACGAAAGUGGACGUAUAGGGUGUGAUGCCUGCCCGGUGCUGGAAGGUUAAUUGAUGGGGUUAGCGUAAGCGAAGCUCUUGAUCGAAGCCCCAGUAAACGGCGGCCGUAACUAUAACGGUCCUAAGGUAGCGAAAUUCCUUGUCGGGUAAGUUCCGACCUGCACGAAUGGCAUAAUGAUGGCGGCGCUGUCUCCAGCAGAGGCUCAGUGAAAUCGAAAUCGCUGUGAAGAUGCAGUGUACCCGCGGCUAGACGGAAAGACCCCGUGAACCUUUACUGCAGCUUGACACUGAACUUUGACCUUACUUGUGUAGGAUAGGUGGGAGGCUUUGAAGCUGGAACGCUAGUUCCAGUGGAGCCGUCCUUGAAAUACCACCCUGGUAAUGUUGAGGUUCUAACUCUGUCCCGUGAUCCGGGACGAGGACCGUGUCUGGUGGGUAGUUUGACUGGGGCGGUCUCCUCCUAAAGAGUAACGGAGGAGUACGAAGGUGCGCUCAGCGUGGUCGGAAAUCACGCGUAGAGUAUAAAGGCAAAAGCGCGCUUAACUGCGAGACCCACAAGUCGAGCAGGUACGAAAGUAGGUCUUAGUGAUCCGGUGGUUCUGUAUGGAAGGGCCAUCGCUCAACGGAUAAAAGGUACUCUGGGGAUAACAGGCUGAUACCGCCCAAGAGUUCAUAUCGACGGCGGUGUUUGGCACCUCGAUGUCGGCUCAUCUCAUCCUGGGGCUGAAGCAGGUCCCAAGGGUAUGGCUGUUCGCCAUUUAAAGAGGUACGCGAGCUGGGUUUAGAACGUCGUGAGACAGUUCGGUCCCUAUCUACCGUGGGCGCUGGAAAUUUGAGAGGAUCUGCUCCUAGUACGAGAGGACCAGAGUGGACGAACCUCUGGUGUACCGGUUGUGACGCCAGUCGCAUCGCCGGGUAGCUAUGUUCGGAAGGGAUAACCGCUGAAAGCAUCUAAGCGGGAAGCCUACCUCAAGAUAAGAUUUCCCUAGGACUUUAUGUCCUCUAAAGAGCCGUUCGAGACUAGGACGUUGAUAGGUUGGAUGUGGAAGCAUAGUGAUAUGUGAAGCUGACCAAUACUAAUUGCUCGUGAGGCUUGACUAUACAACACCCAAGCAGUUG
rnacentral:rRNA from 1 species